rnacentral:rRNA from 1 species
GGUUAAGCGACUAAGCGUACACGGUGGAUGCCCUGGCAGUCAGAGGCGAUGAAGGACGUGCUAAUCUGCGAUAAGCGUCGGUAAGGUGAUAUGAACCGUUAUAACCGGCGAUUUCCGAAUGGGGAAACCCAGUGUGAUUCGUCACACUAUCAUUAACUGAAUCCAUAGGUUAAUGAGGCGAACCGGGGGAACUGAAACAUCUAAGUACCCCGAGGAAAAGAAAUCAACCGAGAUUCCCCCAGUAGCGGCGAGCGAACGGGGAGGAGCCCAGAGCCUGAAUCAGUGUGUGUGUUAGUGGAAGCGUCUGGAAAGGCGCGCGAUACAGGGUGACAGCCCCGUACACAAAAAUGCACAUACUGUGAGCUCGAUGAGUAGGGCGGGACACGUGGUAUCCUGUCUGAAUAUGGGGGGACCAUCCUCCAAGGCUAAAUACUCCUGACUGACCGAUAGUGAACCAGUACCGUGAGGGAAAGGCGAAAAGAACCCCGGCGAGGGGAGUGAAAAAGAACCUGAAACCGUGUACGUACAAGCAGUGGGAGCACAGAGCAAUCUGUGUGACUGCGUACCUUUUGUAUAAUGGGUCAGCGACUUAUAUUCUGUAGCAAGGUUAACCGAAUAGGGGAGCCGAAGGGAAACCGAGUCUUAACCGGGCGUUAAGUUGCAGGGUAUAGACCCGAAACCCGGUGAUCUAGCCAUGGGCAGGUUGAAGGUUGGGUAACACUAACUGGAGGACCGAACCGACUAAUGUUGAAAAAUUAGCGGAUGACUUGUGGCUGGGGGUGAAAGGCCAAUCAAACCGGGAGAUAGCUGGUUCUCCCCGAAAGCUAUUUAGGUAGCGCCUCGUGAAUUCAUCUCCGGGGGUAGAGCACUGUUUCGGCAAGGGGGUCAUCCCGACUUACCAACCCGAUGCAAACUGCGAAUACCGGAGAAUGUUAUCACGGGAGACACACGGCGGGUGCUAACGUCCGUCGUGAAGAGGGAAACAACCCAGACCGCCAGCUAAGGUCCCAAAGUCAUGGUUAAGUGGGAAACGAUGUGGGAAGGCCCAGACAGCCAGGAUGUUGGCUUAGAAGCAGCCAUCAUUUAAAGAAAGCGUAAUAGCUCACUGGUCGAGUCGGCCUGCGCGGAAGAUGUAACGGGGCUAAACCAUGCACCGAAGCUGCGGCAGCGACACUGUGUGUUGUUGGGUAGGGGAGCGUUCUGUAAGCCUGUGAAGGUGUACUGUAAGGUAUGCUGGAGGUAUCAGAAGUGCGAAUGCUGACAUAAGUAACGAUAAAGCGGGUGAAAAGCCCGCUCGCCGGAAGACCAAGGGUUCCUGUCCAACGUUAAUCGGGGCAGGGUGAGUCGACCCCUAAGGCGAGGCCGAAAGGCGUAGUCGAUGGGAAACAGGUUAAUAUUCCUGUACUUGGUGUUACUGCGAAGGGGGGACGGAGAAGGCUAUGUUGGCCGGGCGACGGUUGUCCCGGUUUAAGCGUGUAGGCUGGUUUUCCAGGCAAAUCCGGAAAAUCAAGGCUGAGGCGUGAUGACGAGGCACUACGGUGCUGAAGCAACAAAUGCCCUGCUUCCAGGAAAAGCCUCUAAGCAUCAGGUAACAUCAAAUCGUACCCCAAACCGACACAGGUGGUCAGGUAGAGAAUACCAAGGCGCUUGAGAGAACUCGGGUGAAGGAACUAGGCAAAAUGGUGCCGUAACUUCGGGAGAAGGCACGCUGAUAUGUAGGUGAAGUCCCUCGCGGAUGGAGCUGAAAUCAGUCGAAGAUACCAGCUGGCUGCAACUGUUUAUUAAAAACACAGCACUGUGCAAACACGAAAGUGGACGUAUACGGUGUGACGCCUGCCCGGUGCCGGAAGGUUAAUUGAUGGGGUCAGCGCAAGCGAAGCUCUUGAUCGAAGCCCCGGUAAACGGCGGCCGUAACUAUAACGGUCCUAAGGUAGCGAAAUUCCUUGUCGGGUAAGUUCCGACCUGCACGAAUGGCGUAAUGAUGGCCAGGCUGUCUCCACCCGAGACUCAGUGAAAUUGAACUCGCUGUGAAGAUGCAGUGUACCCGCGGCAAGACGGAAAGACCCCGUGAACCUUUACUAUAGCUUGACACUGAACAUUGAGCCUUGAUGUGUAGGAUAGGUGGGAGGCUUUGAAGUGUGGACGCCAGUCUGCAUGGAGCCGACCUUGAAAUACCACCCUUUAAUGUUUGAUGUUCUAACGUGGACCCGUGAUCCGGGUUGCGGACAGUGUCUGGUGGGUAGUUUGACUGGGGCGGUCUCCUCCUAAAGAGUAACGGAGGAGCACGAAGGUUGGCUAAUCCUGGUCGGACAUCAGGAGGUUAGUGCAAUGGCAUAAGCCAGCUUGACUGCGAGCGUGACGGCGCGAGCAGGUGCGAAAGCAGGUCAUAGUGAUCCGGUGGUUCUGAAUGGAAGGGCCAUCGCUCAACGGAUAAAAGGUACUCCGGGGAUAACAGGCUGAUACCGCCCAAGAGUUCAUAUCGACGGCGGUGUUUGGCACCUCGAUGUCGGCUCAUCACAUCCUGGGGCUGAAGUAGGUCCCAAGGGUAUGGCUGUUCGCCAUUUAAAGUGGUACGCGAGCUGGGUUUAGAACGUCGUGAGACAGUUCGGUCCCUAUCUGCCGUGGGCGCUGGAGAACUGAGGGGGGCUGCUCCUAGUACGAGAGGACCGGAGUGGACGCAUCACUGGUGUUCGGGUUGUCAUGCCAAUGGCACUGCCCGGUAGCUAAAUGCGGAAGAGAUAAGUGCUGAAAGCAUCUAAGCACGAAACUUGCCCCGAGAUGAGUUCUCCCUGACCCUUUAAGGGUCCUGAAGGAACGUUGAAGACGACGACGUUGAUAGGCCGGGUGUGUAAGCGCAGCGAUGCGUUGAGCUAACCGGUACUAAUGAACCGUGAGGCUUAACCUU